rnacentral:tRNA from 1 species
GCGGGGUGGGGUAGCCAGGUUUAACCCGCAGGGCUCAUAACCCUGAGAUUGAUCGAGGCGAGUUCGAUCCUCAAGCG